UACGAAGGGUGCAAGCGUUACUCGGAAUUACUGGGCGUAAAGCGUGCGUAGGUGGUUUGUUAAGUCUGAUGUGAAAGCCCCGGGCUCAACCUGGGAAGUGCAUUGGAAACUGGAAGACUUGAGUACGGGAGAGGGCAGUGGAAUUCCUGGUGUAGGAGUGAAAUCCGUAGAUAUCAGGAGGAACACCGGUGGCGAAGGCGGAUCUCUGGGCCUUACCUGACGCUGAGGCGCGAAAGCUAGGGGAGCGAACAGG
rnacentral:rRNA from 1 species